UUCCCAUUCAUUUUUUCUCCAUAAGGUUUUUGAUUAUCAGUCAUAAUGUCUAAACCAUCCGAGGUAGACUGACCACGAGCUCCGAGGUAGAAGACAUUAUGAAAUCAAACUUGUUUUAAGAAACAAGACUUGACUUGGACUCUUGGUCAGAGACUUGAAACUAGACUUGGACUCUAGCUCAGCGACUUGAGGCUUGACCUGGACUCUAGCUCAGAGACUUGACUUGGACUCUUGCUCAGGGACUUGAGACUUGGACUCUAGCUAAGAGACUUGAGACUUGACCUUGACUCUAGCUCAGAGACUUGACCUGGACUCUAGCUCAGAGACUUGACCUGGACUCUAGCACAUAGACUUGAGACCUUACUUGGACUCUAGAUCAGACACUUGAGACU